rnacentral:rRNA from 1 species
GACGAACGCUGGCGGCGUGCUUAACACAUGCAAGUGGAGCGACGAACCGGGCUUCGGCCCGGGGCAAAGCCGCGAACGGGUGAGUAUCACGUGGGUAACCUGCCCCGAUGACCGGGACAACCCGAGGAAACUCGGGCUAAUACCGGAUGUGCUCUCCAUCCACCAGGGUGGAGAACAAAGGAAGCUUCGGCCUCCGCAUUGGGAUGGGCCCGCGGCCCAUUUAGCUUGUUGGUGAGGUAAAGGCUCACCAAGGCGACGAUGGGUAGCUGGUCUGAGAGGACGAUCAGCCACACUGGGACUGAGACACGGCCCAGACUCCUACGGGAGGCG